UCAUCAUGCCCCUUAUGUCUUGGGCUUCACGCAUGCUACAAUGGCCGGUACAAAGGGCUGCGAUACCGCGAGGUGGAGCGAAUACCCAGAAAGCCGGUCUCAGUUCGGAUUGGGUCUGCAACUCGACCCCAUGAAGUCGGAGUCGCUAGUAAUCGCAGAUCAGCAACGCUGCGGUGAAUACGUUCCCGGGCCUU
rnacentral:rRNA from 1 species